GGUGGAGAGCUCCAAAGGGAUCGCAUUGAUCUAAUGUUGAUGAUGGGCUUCCUUGAAAACCUUAACGAAUUAAUUAUUGAUUUUUGUUGAUUCAGUUCAGUACCCAUUGGAUCAUGCGAUCCCUUCGGAAUUUUCCAUC
rnacentral:pre_miRNA from 1 species